rnacentral:rRNA from 1 species
AAACCAACUGGGAUUACCUUAGUAACGGCGAGUGAAGCGGUAAAAGCUCAAAUUUGAAAUCUGGUACUUUCAGUGCCCGAGUUGUAAUUUGUAGAAUUUGUCUUUGAUUAGGUCCUUGUCUAUGUUCCUUGGAACAGGACGUCAUAGAGGGUGAGAAUCCCGUUUGGCGAGGAUACCUUUUCUCUGUAAGACUUUUUCGAAGAGUCGAGUUGUUUGGGAAUGCAGCUCAAAGUGGGUGGUAAAUUCCAUCUAAAGCUAAAUAUUGGCGAGAGACCGAUAGCGAACAAGUACAGUGAUGGAAAGAUGAAAAGAACUUUGAAAAGAGAGUGAAAAAGUACGUGAAAUUGUUGAAAGGGAAGGGCAUUUGAUCAGACAUGGUGUUUUUUGCAUGCACUCGCCUCUCGUGGGCUUGGGCCUCUCAAAAAUUUCACUGGGCCAACAUCAAUUCUGGCAGCAGGAUAAAUCAUUAAGAACGUAGCUACCUCGGUAGUGUUAUAGCUUUUGGAAUACUGCUAGCUGGGAUGAGGACUGCGCUU